AAUAAAAAAAACAAACAUAAACAAUGUGCCGCGUGUGCCGCAGAUGCCGUUCUAGCUCUGGAAGUUCCGUCGGCUGCCAGGGCAGGACAAUUAAUUCGCUUCUGGAAGAGUACGACACAAAAGUCCUGCGUCAGGAUGGUCCGAUCAUCAGUGGAAAGUUUGAAUGAUGUUCCGGAAUUGGUGACCUCUACCGCAAAAUGUCAUCCAACCCGUACGACUUGACCGUGGAAUACAAAUUUCCAGCAGAGCCAUAUGAAUUUUCUUGCUGGUCUACAGGUGGCGGCCGACAGUGAUUUAAUGGCAACAGGUCAACAUCUAUUCAUCGGUCAAUCCGGUUACCUUUGCGGCACACUGAUCAAACCAGAUUUGUUAUUCGAUGGAAUCUGGAAGCGAAAAAUUAUCUUGAACGAUGUAAAAUGUGGAGAUUAUGCAGCGUGAAAUAAAAAUGGUCCUAUAUCGAAGCCCACCUUUCCGGAGAAGGUUUCACGGCUGUAUCGAACUACGA